UGUGAUUGAUUCGACCCAUGCCUUUGGCCUUCGGUGUCCGAAUGGUAUACAUUGAUCUGAGAGAGAUGCCUUUGCGCAUUCGUAACCCUAAUUAGAAACGUCGAGUUUGAUACCGGAGUUGAGUUGAGCGGCGAAAAUGACUUUCAAGCGCAGAAACGGCGGACGCAACAAGCAUGGCAGGGGUCACGUCAACUUCAUCCGCUGCUCUAACUGCGGCAAGUGCUGUCCUAAGGACAAGGCUAUAAAGAGGUUCCUCGUGAGGAAUAUAGUGGAGCAAGCUGCCGUGAGGGAUGUGCAAGAGGCUUGUGCCUACGAUGGAUACACACUUCCGAAGUUGUAUAUCAAAGUGCAGUACUGCGUGUCCUGCGCAAUCCACUCAAAGGUUGUCAGGGUGAGGUCUCGCACAGAUAGGAGAAACCGAGAGCCACCACAGCGCUUCAGACGUCGGGAUGAUCUGGCAAAGCCUGCCCAAGGCACUCGCCCAGUUGGGGCUGGAAAUCCUACCCGUCCAUGACCAUGCACACAUGGGGACUCAUUGGUUUGUUUCCGUUUCAAAGACAGAAUUUUGGUGGUUGAGGUAGUUUUGAAGCUGAUGCAAAUUACAGACCAAACCGCUAGCUAAACCAUACAUGCAAAAUCAGACAAGCGAGAGAUGAAGUGUUGUACUUAAUUUUUCUGAAGGUAGUUUUGCAAUUGCCUUCUCGAUGAAGCCAUCAACUUCGUCUUCAUAUUUGUUGUAUAAGAAGGGUACACUAGCUAGUGUGAAGUGUGACGAAAACUACAGCCAAAAAUAAUAAAAGAAUAAUUGAAGGAUUAUCAA